rnacentral:miRNA from 1 species
AGGACAGAGCAAGUGGCGCAUUUAGAAGCAGCCACAGGUCGCCUGCAUGGUUGCCGGGCCUGGGCUGCUCUGAGCUCC